GGACUACCGGGGUAUCUAAUCCCGUUCGCUCCCCGCGCUUUCGCGUCUCAGCGUCAGGCGCGGCCCAGGGGGCCGCCUGCGCCACGGGUGUUCCUCCGGAUCUCUACGCAUUUCACCACUACACCCGGAAUUCCACCCCCCUCUACCGGCCUCCAGACGACUAGUUUUCGCCGACCUCGCCCGGUUAAGCCAGGCGCUUUCACAGCAAACUUAGUCAUCCGCCUACACGCGCUUUACGCCCAGUGAUUCCGGACAACGCUCGCCUCCUACGUAUUACCGCGGCGGCUGGCAC
rnacentral:rRNA from 1 species